AUGAGCAUCAUGUCCCUGCCCUUCCUGGGCCUGGGGACAUCACACAGCCAGGGCAGAGGGACCUGCUGGCACAACGGCAAUAGCUCCGAGCCAACAGACCUGGAGCAGAGCACAAAUCUGGUUGCUCUCCAUGGAGAGCUGCAAGAGGUAGGAAAGCCACCAUGUCCCCGUGGCACGGUCUCGGGAUGGGGUCCCCAGCCAGCCUACCCCAUGCACAGCCCUGGCAGUGUCCGGGCAGAGCUACCCAACCCGGCUCUGGGCACCCAGACCAAAGGCAUCACUUGUACAUGCACAACCGCCCAGUCACUGGAGAUUUGCACUGCUCUUGUCAUCCAAGGGAAAAAUCCAAAGUCCCCUAGCUUCACCCACAGCAAACACUUUCCCUUCAUUCCCUCUCUGCCCCCCUCCUGGGGCCAGCAAGGCCAGAGACGUGGCCCAGCUGCUUGCCUGCUGCCAGCCCUUAGCGAGAAGGCACUCGGGAAGGUCUUGCCACCAUGCAAGGAGAACAGAGCAAGCUGGAACAGAAAUAUGCCUGUUUGCCCAUGCUCUCCUGGCCACAGCUGCUUGGCAGGUCUCUUGACUGCUGUUGCCCCCUGUUCUCCAUCCACACCCCAUCAUUUCCCCCCUUCCUCAUGCUCUCCCACUGUUAUCCCCUUCGCUAUGUCUUUUCCCAUAAAUUUCCCUCUUUCUUCUGUCUUCUCUUGUUUUCUCCUGGUGCCCCCUUUUCCCUUUCUUCCAUCUAUCAUCCUCCCCUCUUCUCAUUCUUUUCCAGUCACCCCUGCCUUUUCUCCAUCUGUUCACCAUCAUUUCCCCCAUUUUAUCCAUUUGUUCCCUCAUUUUUCCCCUUUUUUUCUGACAGCAUGCAUGCAGGGGAAUGGUGGGGACCAGAGUGCAGUACAGGAGGGGAGCAGGGCGAGCACAGAGGGGGACGGUCGAGACCAGCACGCACAGAGCCUGCUGCAGGGGAACGGAGCGUGCACGGAGGGGAACAGAGGGGAGCAGAGUGUGCCGAGAGGUCAACRGAGGGGAACCGAGUGCUCUCAGAGGGGACGGCCCUGCCUCCAGGCCAUUUGCACAAGCCCAAGACAUCUCCACAUAGCAGGGUAUGGCCCUGGGUAUCACUGGGGGACCCCAGCAUCCUGCCCCCAAAUCCUGGGAUCAGUGCCCUGCCCUAUGUGGGGUCUACAAGAGGGGAGACUGAGGCACAGGGCAGAUGUGGCUUUGUCAGUGGGGCAGAGCCAAGGAGAACACCCUCGAGCCAGGAGCUGCAGCGCCCAGCUCCUGAAGUUAGGGCCAUGGAGGAGUGGGGAUGGUCUCUGA
rnacentral:lncRNA from 1 species